rnacentral:rRNA from 1 species
CAGUCGCCGCGGUAAAACGUAGGGUGCGAGCGUUAAUCGGAAUUACUGGGCGUAAAGCGUGCGCAGGCGGUUAUAUAAGACAGAUGUGAAAUCCCCGGGCUCAACCUGGGACCUGCAUUUGUGACUGUAUGGCUAGAGUACGGUAGAGGGGGAUGGAAUUCCGCGUGUAGCAGUGAAAUGCGUAGAGAUCGGAAGAAACAUCUGUGGCGAAGGCGACUAUCUGGGCCAACACUGACGCUCAGGUGCGAAAGCGUGGGGAGCAAACAGGAUUAGAUACCCCCGUAGUCCCUGUCUCUUAUAC